AUCGCAUAUCUGUGGCUAGGUUUGGGCUAAAAGGGCCACACGAGCGUGUGGGCCCAUUUGGGCCGAGAAUAGGCUUUAGGCCCAUUCGUACAGUUAUCCAUGUUUAGAAUACUUUAGUUUACCAAUUACUGAAAUGCCCUCGACUUGUAAAAUUACCAAAGUACUCCCGAUUUACAGAAUUACCGUUUUACCCUCGAUUUAUAGAAUUACCGUUUACCCUCGAUUUUUAAAAUUACCGUUUUACCCUCGAUUUACAGAAUUAUCGUUUUACCCUCAGUUUACAGAAUUACCGUUUUACCCUCGAUUUACAGAAUUAUCAUUUUACCCUCAGUUUACAGAAUUACUGUUUUACCCUUGAUUUAUAGAAUUACCGUUUUACCCUUGAUUUGUAAAAUUACCGUUUU
rnacentral:lncRNA from 1 species